rnacentral:rRNA from 1 species
CCCUAGUAACUGCGAGUGAAGCGGGAAGAGCUCAAAUUUAAAAUCUGGCGGUCUUGUGGCCGUCCGAGUUGUAGUCUGGAGAAGUGUUAUCUGCGUCGGACCGUGUACAAGUCUCCUGGAAUGGAGCGUCAUAGAGGGUGAGAAUCCCGUCCAUGACACGGACGCCCCGAUGCUUUGUGAGGCACUCUCGAAGAGUCGAGUUGUUUGGGAAUGCAGCUCAAAAUGGGUGGUAAAUUCCAUCUAAAGCUAAAUAUUGGCGAGAGACCGAUAGCGAACAAGUACCGUGAGGGAAAGAUGAAAAGCACUUUGGAAAGAGAGUUAAAUAGUACGUGAAAUUGUUGAAAGGGAAACGCUUGAAGUCAGUCGCGUCCCGUGGAACUCAGCCUGGCUUCGGUCUGGUGUACUUUCCAUGUGGACGGGUCAACAUCAGUUUUGGCCGGUGGAAAAGGGCAAAGGGAAUGUAGUGCCGCUUCGGUGGCGUGUAUAGCCCUUUGUCAAAUACGCUGGCUGGGACUGAGGACUGCAGCACGCCCUUGUGGCCGGGGGGUUCGCCCCUACGUUACGUGCUUAGGAUGUUGGCAUAAUGGCUUUAAGCGACCCGUCUUGAAACACGGACCAAGGAGUCCAACACGCUUGCGAGUGUUCGGGUGGAAAACCCUUGCGCGUAAUGAAAGUGAAAGUUGGGAGCCUCCGCAAGGGGGUGCACCGACGCCCGGCCCUGAAGUUCUCUGACGGUGCUGCGGUAGAGCAAGUGUGCUGGGACCCGAAAGAUGGUGAACUAUGCCUGAAUAGGGCGAAGCCAGAGGAAACUCUGGUGGAGGCUCGUAGCGAUUCUGACGUGCAAAUCGAUCGUCAAAUUUGGG